rnacentral:lncRNA from 1 species
GACCAGUUGGGUCUGUCGAGUCUCAUAAAGAAGAGGAGGUCUGGUUCAUCAAACAUCUCCAUCAAAGCGGUAGGGCUUGGGAGAGGCCAAAGAAUUCGUGGCAUUCAGUGGUCUUAUUUACUGGAAUUCGUUAGUAUGCAUUUUGUUGCUCAUGUUCGACUUGAAGCAAACAGGAAGCUUUCUCCAUUAGAAGGAAUUAAAUUGAUGAAGGUAGCACAUACUUUGAUAACUGCCAAAGAUGCAAGCCUGGCUAAGUAGUCACACGUGAAAUGGCCGUGCUCAACUCUGGACUUAUAUAGAUGAGAUAGCUCAUUUCGAGAGCAUAUAUCGUGGCUUAUUCGAUCCAUUUAUAUUAAAUUUGGAUGUUGAAGUGAUUAGAUGUAAUUGUAAA